UUAUUUAAUUUUAGGUAUUGCAUAUCAUUUAAAGAUGUUUUUAUAGUUUUAUAAAUAAUAGAAUUAAAAGGUAGAAAAUUUAUUAUUUUUAUUGUUUCAUAAUAAAAAUAAUAAAUUUUAGAGUUGAAAAGUCGACUUUUAGGAUAUCUGUGUAAUUUGUUGUUAUUAGAAAUUUAUUUUUAUUUUUUAUAUAUUAUAUAAAUAGUAAAAGUUAAAGUAUUUUUAUUUUUAGUUUUAUAACUGUUUAUCUUUUAAAGGUUAGUUUAGUUUUUUGUUUUAUAUAAUAAAGUUUUAUUAUAUAUAUUAUUUUAGAAUUAGUAGUUGUUGUAAAGAAUUUGUUUUUUGUUUAAUAUAAUUAAAUAACUCAAAUAUUGAUCAAAUGUUUUUUAAAGACUUAGAUUUUUAAAUAAAAUUGGCUUCUGCCCAGUGAUAAUAAUUAAAUGGCAGUCUUAGCGUGAGGACAUUAAGGUAGCAAAAUAAUUUGUGCUUUUAUUGGGUUCCAGUAUGAAUGGAGUUAUUGGUUAAUUAAUUUUUUAAUUUUUAUGUGAAUUUUUAAUUAGUAUAAAAAAAUAUUAGUAUAAUAAUACAAAGAUAAGUCUUCGGAAAUUCUAUUUUAAUAAUAGUUUUUGUAUUAUUGUUAAAAAUUUUCUAGGGCAGAAAUAUUAUAUAAUUAUAAUAUCUAUUAAUAAAUUUAAGGAAUUACUCCGGAGUUAACAGAAAAUCAUAUCUAAUCUAGUUCUUAUAGUAAGAUAAGUUUUACAUCGAUGUUGUAUUUAAAUUUAUUAAAAAAGGAGAAAAUUUAAAUUUUAAGACUGUUCUUCUUUUAAUUAAUUUAACGUGAUAUUAGUUUAAUUCAUUGUAAGAUAGAAUUGUUUAUCUUGUUUAUUAUUAAUAAAUAAUUUUAAUAGUACGAAAGGAAAAUUAAAAAAAGUUUUAAACUUUUAAAGGUUAGUUUGGCUUA
rnacentral:rRNA from 1 species